rnacentral:rRNA from 1 species
AUUGAACGCUGGCGGCAUGCCUUACACAUGCAAGUCGAGCGGCAGCACGGGUGCUUGCACCUGGUGGCGAGUGGCGAACGGGUGAGUAAUACAUCGGAACAUGUCCUGGAGUGGGGGAUAGCCCGGCGAAAGCCGGAUUAAUACCGCAUACGAUCUACGGAUGAAAGCGGGGGACCUUCGGGCCUCGCGCUAUAGGGUUGGCCGAUGGCUGAUUAGCUAGUUGGUGGGGUAAAGGCCUACCAAGGCGACGAUCAGUAGCUGGUCUGAGAGGACGACCAGCCACACUGGGACUGAGACACGGCCCAGACUCCUACGGGAGGCAGCAGUGGGGAAUUUUGGACAAUGGGCGAAAGCCUGAUCCAGCAAUGCCGCGUGUGUGAAGAAGGCCUUCGGGUUGUAAAGCACUUUUGUCCGGAAAGAAAUCCUUGGCUCUAAUACCGUCGGGGGAUGACGGUACCGGAAGAAUAAGCACCGGCUAACUACGUG